UACAUAGGGGGCAAGCGUUAUCCGGAAUUAUUGGGCGUAAAGAGUGCGUAGGCGGCUUUUUAAGUCAGUUGUGAAAUCCCAGGGCUUAACCCUGGAGGGUCAACUGAAACUAAAAGGCUUGAAUCAAGUAGAGGUAAGUGGAAUUCCAUGUGUAGCGGUAAAAUGCGUAGAUAUAUGGAGGAACACCAGUGGCGAAGGCGGCUUACUGGGCUUGAAUUGACGCUGAGGCACGAAAGCGUGGGGAGCAAACAGG
rnacentral:rRNA from 1 species